AUACGUAGGGAGCGAGCGUUGUCCGGAUUUACUGGGCGUAAAGGGCGCGUAGGCGGGUAAAUAAGUCAGAUGUGAAAACUAUGGGCUCAACCCAUAGCCUGCAUUUGAAACUGUAUAUCUUGAGGGCAGGAGAGGAAAGUGGAAUUCCUAGUGUAGCGGUGAAAUGCGUAGAUAUUAGGAGGAACACCAGUGGCGAAGGCGGAUUGCUGGACAGCAACUGACGGUGAGGCGCGAAAGUGUGGGGAGCAAACAGGAUUAGAUACCCUGGUAGUCCACACUGUAAACGAUGAAUACUAGGUGUGCGGGGACUGACCCCCUGCGUGCCGGCGUUAACACAAUAAGUAUUCCACCUGGGGAGUACGAUCGCAAGGUUGAAACUCAAAUGAAUUGACGGGG
rnacentral:rRNA from 1 species